rnacentral:lncRNA from 1 species
AACGAAAGACAUCGACCCAAACUCACAGCCGCUCCCCGGGCAGCACCGCGAUGGGGCCGGGCGGGGACGCGGGGCCGGGAGCAGCCCCGGAUGCACGCGGUCCCCCCAUCCAAUCACCACCGCCCCCCUCCACUAAUUUUCUUUAAUUAAAUCUCGAUGUGCGGAGCGUGUCUGGAGGACGGAAAUAGCCGCUGAAGGGAAGAGCGUGUGGGGAGGCAGAUCAGAACUGCCGGCGUGGGAACGUAGAAGCGCACGGCGGGGCCGGGGGGGAUGCAGAGCCGGCAGCGGCCCUCCCGCAGCCCCCACCCCGCUCACCCCAGGGGAUGGGGUCACUGGGGGUUCGGCUUCCCGCAGCACUGUGCUUCAUGACAUCCCAAGGUGUCCCCAAAACCCAGCAAGUCCUUUGUGCAGCCCUGCAGGGAUGUGGCAGCGGAGACAGAGAAGCUAAACCUACACGAAGUGUACAACCAGGAAACUGAAUAGCACCACUGGCAAAGACCGUCCUCUCCCCAGACAGCCGAGAGUGACGAACACCUGAGCAGACCAAUGGCUUUGGCACGGCGGGAUGGAACCAACCCGAGCGUUUGGUCUCAGCCCACAGAGCCCAUGGAGGCAGAGCUGAUGGAGACCCAAACCUCCUACAGCUCCGGGAGGUUUAUCUGGCAGUAAUCUAACGGCUGGGUCACGUGGAGCCGGGCCGCAGAUUUAUAAUCGCGUACUUGAAGAUCACAGGCUAUGGAAAUUAUUGCUGCGCUGGCUGGAAUACAUUAUGCAAAGCAAUGCGUUAUCUGGAAGCCUGCACCGCACGCACACGCGCGCACACACUUCGGUGAUCUAUCUAUCGCUCCCCAUGCAGAUGUUCUGCUGCAAAGAAGUUCUAAUUAAUAUAUUGAGAAUACGUUUCCUGCCUUGUCUGCACCGGAGAUGAGCAGGGAAACAGCACUGAGUGGGGGAAAAGCCCCCACCGUGGAAGGAGUGAUAAAGAGAAAGGCAGGGACUUCAAAGCAGUUGGAAACAAGUGGGGUGUGAACUGGGGCCCAGCUCGUGCCCUGAGCGAGUGGUGGGGCUGAUGGCAACACAGGGCCAUAGCAGCAGCUGCAGCUCCUCAGUCCUCCUGCAGUCCCCCUGUCAGGAUAACUCUUCUCUCCCUCCAUCCAUUCAGGAGUUGGACUCCAGGAUCCUUACGGGUCCCUCACCCAUGACACUCCCCCAUACAGAACAGUCAAAGACCACAACAUCUGCUCCAUGAGGUGCAGCCCAGGAGCUAUUCCUCCCUGCGAGGCUGUGGGCAUUACUGCUGGCAUCAUCUGUCCCAUCACAAAGGGACAGCUUACAUCACCCCCCCGAGUAGCUGCAGAGAACCACGAAAGGAUGGGAGAUGAGGUGAGCGAGGCACAGACCCAACAGUGGGACACAGCUGGGCACCUCCAUCCCGCCCCAUAGGGGCAGUGAGAACCAGAACCCCCCCAGUGAACAUCAUCAGUCACGGAGGGCUCAGGCUUCACACAGGGAGAAACCCAGAUCGAUAACCCAGAGCAGAAGAGAUGUGAAAUUAGCCUUGCCAGGCUGGGGAGUGCUUUUAAAUUGCAGCAGAAGUGGUUGAGAGAUAGCUUGCUCUCCACAGGAACUUCUCCCCAUCCUUGGGAUUUAAGCCUGUUAAUAGUGGAGUAUGAUGAUAUUAUCUGUUUGUAUUGCACUUUUUAUCACAGACGGCUCCCAGGGUGAUUUGCUAUCAUGCCCUCUGAGAGCUGCUGAAACAUGGGAGCUGCAGGAAGCAGCAGUGAUGUAACCACCAUCUCGGUAGCAGCAGAGCAGGAGGGAUGGAGCAGAAGCCCUUUGCCAGGUGGGAUACACUGCACUCCUCAGCUUCCUGCUGCUUCCCACAGGCUUCGGUGCUGGCAUCCAUUCUCCAGCUCCCAGCCUGGAACAGGGCAGGCUUGAAGCUCAACCCCAAGUAACCCCUCCAGAGACACUGGGUCUGCAGAACGAGUCCAGGCCACCCCAGGGAGCAUCCCAUGGCUUGCCAGGCAGCGUGGGGAGAGGAUGAGUGCAGCUGGCGUGUGCGGCUGUCCUCGCCAGGAGGACCAGCACCAGCAGUGACAACAUCUGCAGGCACCACCUGGACACCGAGCUGGGGGUGCGCUGAGCAUCACCUAGCGAUGCGCACGGGCAGGAUGAGCUUUUGCGUGCUCUCCUUCCAGCCAGGAUGGACCAUUGGCAGAACCACCUCCUUCCCUAAUUUGCUCACCUGGAGCACGUGCCCGGACCUCCAGGAGCUGUGUGGGACGAGACAGCUCUGUGCUGUGCAACAAACAUCAGCAGAGCUGCGGAGCGCUUCCACUCCCAGCUCCACCACCCCCUGAUUGACACCCUGUAAUAAAGAGAUUUACCACAUAAUUAUUGCGCAUUUGGGAUGCGGCACCAUUCUUUUUUUUUUU